rnacentral:rRNA from 1 species
UACGUAGGGUGCAAGCGUUAAUCGGAAUUACUGGGCGUAAAGCGUGUGCAGGCGGCUUGGUAAGUAAGGCGUGAAAUCCCAGAGCUUAACUUUGGAACUGCACUUUUAACUGCCAAGCUAGAGUAUGUCAGAGGGGGGUAGAAUUCCACGUGUAGCAGUGAAAUGCGUAGAGAUGUGGAGGAAUACCGAUGGCGAAGGCAGCCCCCUGGGAUAAUACUGACGCUCAUGCACGAAAGCGUGGGGAGCAAACAGG